rnacentral:sRNA from 1 species
GCAAGGCAUGGUGGUGCAUGCCUGUAAUCCCAGUGGCUUGGGAGCCUGAGGCAGGUGGAUGUGAGUUCAAAGCCAGCAUCAGCAACUUAAUGAGGCACUUAGCAACUCAGCAAGACCCUGUCUCUA